ACCCAAACCGCCAAUUACUGCUGCUGUUACAAAAAAAAAAAGGAACGUGAAAAAGCCCGAUCUGUAUAGAAUACACCACGUCGCCAAGAGACUUGUUACACCACUGGGCAAAUGAAAAAAUAGACCGAAAGGGGAAGCCGCCUUUUGUCGUACGGAUGUCGGCGUGUGAUGGCGAAGAAAUGCGGGAGUCGAACAGAGAAAUGUGCUAUUCCUGGCGGAUUUGGAACAAAUUGAUUCGAUGAACCCAUUGCCAUUUUCUGCCGUCUUUCGUCAUCGCAAUUGGGUGAUACAAGACGCUACUUAAGGUUCGGGCAAGACAGAACAUCCAGUAGGAAAGGACAAAUUAGUUUUCUUUUACCUGAUUGGCGGCUGGCUCCAGCUGCCGAGUCCUUUAAUAAUGACAAAACGCCGAGCGUGAUAGACGGCUGCCCACCGUUCAGCGCCUGACUGGCAAGAAGAACGCUCAAGUGGGUCAUACAUACGCAUAAACGUACCGGGUGUGAACGGUAUACAUCGUUGACAAGUUUUUUUCAAUCGUUCUGCCGUCAGCAACGUAUGAAAUGGGGAAAAAAGGAACUUAAUUGUCACUACGUCGAUCCCAGCUGGAACCACCAUUCUGAUAUUUGAUGACGAGCAUAGAAACAGGCACUACUGUACCAGCAACUCAUUAUUCCAAUUCGUUGAUUUGUAAACCGAAGGGGGAGGCAACUUCACAACGCACCAGCACCCUCAACACUUUCACCUGGGGUUUUGGACCCGUAUAUAAAAAUGAUGUCUACUCGCAUACUGCAGCCGACACAUUAGAAAGAAAACAAAAAAACCUUCGAGGAUUCAUCAACGAAACUUCACGCAUGAUUAUGGAAUGGGAAG